rnacentral:rRNA from 1 species
GCGCAGCUGAUCAGCCAUGCCGCGUGAGUGAUGAAGGCCCUAGGGUUGUAAAGCUCUUUCAGCGAGGAGGAUAAUGACGUUACUCGCAGAAGAAGCCCCGGCUAACUUCGUGCCAGCAGCCGCGGUAAUACGAAGGGGGCUAGCGUUGUUCGGAAUCACUGGGCGUAAAGCGCACGUAGGCGGACUGAUCAGUCAGGGGUGAAAUCCCGGGGCUCAACCCCGGAACUGCCUUUGAUACUGUCAGUCUUGAGUCCGAGAGAGGUGAGUGGAACUCCGAGUGUAGAGGUGAAAUUCGUAGAUAUUCGGAAGAACACCAGUGGCGAAGGCGGCUCACUGGCUCGGUACUGACGCUGAGGUGCGAAAGCGUGGGGAGCAAACAGGAUUAGAUACCCCGGUAGUCAAA